rnacentral:rRNA from 1 species
GAGUUUGAUCGUGGCUCAGGAUGAACGCUGGCGGCGUGCUUAACACAUGCAAGUCGAGCGGAGCACAUCGUUGGAAUCCUUCGGGAGGAAGAAGGUGUGGCUUAGCGGCGGACGGGUGAGUAACGCGUGGACAACCUGCCCUAUGCAGGGGGAUAACAUCCGGAAACGGGUGCUAAUACCGCAUAAGCGCACAGUACCGCAUGGUACGGUGUGAAAAGCUGAGGCGGCAUAGGAUGGGUCCGCGUUGGAUUAGGCAGUUGGCGGGGUAACGGCCCACCAAACCGACGAUCCAUAGCCGGCCUGAGAGGGUGGACGGCCACAUUGGGACUGAGACACGGCCCAGACUCCUACGGGAGGCAGCAGUGGGGAAUAUUGCACAAUGGGGGGAACCCUGAUGCAGCGACGCCGCGUGGUGAGGAAGUACUUCGGUAUGUAAAGCCAUAUCAGCAGGGAAGAAAAUGACGGUACCUGACUAAGAAGCCCGGCUAACUACGUGCCAGCAGCCGCGGUAAC